rnacentral:rRNA from 1 species
ACAUGCAAGUCGAGCGGAAAGGCUCCUUCGGGAGUACUCGAGCGGCGAACGGGUGAGUAACACGUGGGUAAUCUGCCCAGGACACAGGAAUAACCAGUGGAAACGCUGGCUAAUGCCUGAUGAAGUGCAGACCUGUUGGGGUUCUGUACCAAAGGUAGCUUCGGCCUCCGGUCCUGGAUGAGCCCGCGGCCCAUUAGCUUGUUGGCGGGGUAACGGCCCACCAAGGCGACGAUGGGUAGCUGGUCUGAGAGGACGAUCAGCCACACUGGGACUGAGACACGGCCCAGACUCCUACGGGAGGCAGCAGUGGGGAAUCUUGCGCAAUGGGCGAAAGCCUGACGCAGCAACGCCGCGUGCGGGAAGAAGGCCUUCGGGUUGUAAACCGCUUUCAGCGGGGAAGAAGGCGAGCGGGUUAAUAGCCCGUCAGCUGACGGUACCCGCAGAAGAAGGUCCGGCUAACUACGUGCCAGCAGCCGCGGUAAUACGUAGGGACCGAGCGUUGUCCGGAAUCAUUGGGCGUAAAGAGCGUGUAGGCGGCCACUUAAGUCCUGCGUGAAAUCUUGCGGCUCAACCGCAAGCGGUCGUGGGAAACUGGGUGGCUAGAGUGCGGGAGAGGAGAGUGGAAUUC